ACCAUGGUCGACUAAAGCAACAAUUGGUUCUUCUAUAUCUCCUACUUUCACCAAUACCUCAGUAGUUGCCCUUGUCCAAUGCUUUCAAGUAUAAUGGCUCAAAGUUUCCAUUUCCUUAUCACUAUAAUCUCCAUUCUUUUCAUUUGUUGGUUGCUUGUAACCAAUAUCAACCUCGUCUUCAUCUUUAUAUAUUCUUGCAUCAAUAGCAUGACUCAUUCCAAUUUCGUCCAUUAA
rnacentral:lncRNA from 1 species